GCGGAAGUAGCUCAGUUGGUGAGCACAACCUUGCCAAGGUUGGGGUCGCGAGUUCGAGUCUCGUUUUCCGCU
rnacentral:tRNA from 1 species